rnacentral:rRNA from 1 species
CCUACGGGAGGCAGCAGUGGGGAAUUUUGGACAAUGGGCGCAAGCCUGAUCCAGCAAUGCCGCGUGAGUGAAGAAGGCCUUCGGGUUGUAAAGCUCUUUUGUCAGGGAAGAAACGGUGGGGGCUAAUAUCUCCUACUAAUGACGGUACCUGAAGAAUAAGCACCGGCUAACUACGUGCCAGCAGCCGCGGUAAUACGUAGGGUGCAAGCGUUAAUCGGAAUUACUGGGCGUAAAGCGUGCGCAGGCGGUUUUGUAAGUCUGUCGUGAAAGCCCCGGGCUCAACCUGGGAAUUGCGAUGGAGACUGCAAGGCUUGAAUCUGGCAGAGGGGGGUAGAAUUCCACGUGUAGCAGUGAAAUGCGUAGAGAUGUGGAGGAACACCGAUGGCGAAGGCAGCCCCCUGGGUCAAGAUUGACGCUCAUGCACGAAAGCGUGGGGAGCAAACAGGAUUAGAUACCCUGGUAGUCCACGCCCUAAACGAUGUCUACUAGUUGUCGGGUUUUAAUUAACUUGGUAACGCAGCUAACGCGUGAAGUAGACCGCCUGGGGAGUACGGUCGCAAGAUUAAAACUCAAAUGAAUUGACGG